rnacentral:pre_miRNA from 1 species
CAAAUACUCCCUCCGUCCGGAAAUACUUGUCAUCAAAAUGGAUAAAAGGAAAUGUAUCUAGACGUAUUUUAGUUUUAGAUACAUCUAUUUUUAUCCAUUUUGAUGACAAGUAUUUUCGGACGGAGGGAGUAGAGA